rnacentral:rRNA from 1 species
UGUAAGCGUAUACCAAAGUUGUUGCAGUUAAAACGCUCGUAGUCGGACUUUGGCAGUUCCGGAUGUGUGCACGUCGUGUGCGCACUUCGCGGGGAUUGCUUUUGUGGUCUUGCGUAGGAUGAGGCACUUUUAUUAGUGAACGUCCUCACGCAACCACUUUUUACUGUGAGAAAAUCAGAGUGCUCAAAGCAGGCAUUUGCCGUGAAUGUAUUAGCAUGGAAUAAUAGAAUAGGACUUGGUUCUAUUUUGUUGGUUUGUUGGGACUGAGUAAUGAUUAAGAGUGACAGUUGGGGGCAUUUGUAUUUCGGUGCUAGAGGUGAAAUUCUUAGAUUACCGAAAGACAAACUGCUGCGAAAGCGUCUGCCAAGGAUGUUUUCAUUGA